GACGUAGGGCGCGAGCGUUGUCCGGAUUUAUUGGGCGUAAAGAGCUCGUAGGCGGCUUGUCGCGUCGACUGUGAAAGCCCGCGGCUCAACCGCGGGUCUGCAGUCGAUACGGGCAGGCUAGAGUUCGAUAGGAGAGACUGGAAUUCCUGGUGUAGCGGUGAAAUGCGUAGAGAUCGGGAGGAACACCAGAGGCGAAGGCGGCGACCUGGACAGUAACUGACACUCAACUACGAAAGCGUGGGUAGCAAACAGG
rnacentral:rRNA from 1 species